ACUCCGUCGUCGGAAAGCCCCCCGUUCCUGUUUCCCUUUCCUCUUCCCUUUCCCGGCUACAGUCCUCCCUCCUUCUUUCCCUUCUGUCCACCUCCCAUUUUUCUACUGCCACCUCGGGUCUGGGCCAUUUUCCAGGCCGGGCGCACUUCGGUGCGCGGCCCCGGGGCCCAAUAUAUGACCCACAGUCCUGCGACCCCUUGUUUCCCCCGCCCCAUGUGGCUGCGGGGUUGCAGCGGUGCUGCCCACUAUGGCUCAGGGAAGCGCCCGCCUCCUUGGGAGCUGGGAGCAACGCUCAGGGCUUGCAGCAUGGCUGGGAUCACUCACUUCAUAGAAGGAAAAGACUCCCUCCAGUGAAGAGAUCCUUGGUGUACUAUCUGAAGAAUCGGGAAGUCAGGUUCCAUAAUGAAACCAACUACUCUGGAGUGUUGCAUGGUUAUGCAGCACAGCAGCUUCCCAGUCUCCUGAAGGAAAGAGAGUUUCACCUUGGGACCCUUAACAAAGUGUUUGCAUCUCAGUGGUUAAAUCAUAGACAAGUGGUGUGUGGCACAAAAUGCCACACGCUAUUGGUAGUGGAUGUCGACACAAGCCAGAUCACCAAGAUCCCCAUUCUGAAAGACCGGGAACCCAGCAGGGCUGUGGUAUCCAUGCCAUAGAGCUGAAUCCAUCUAGAACACUGCUAGCCAUUGGAGGAGACAACCCUAACAGUCUUGCCAUCUAUGGACUGCCUACACUAGAUCCUGUGUGUGUGGGAGAUGAUGGACACAAGGACUGGAUCUUUUCCAUUGCAUGGAUCAAUGACACCAUGGCUGUAUUUGGUUCAUGUCAUGGUUCUAUGGGACUCUGGGAAGAGACAGAUGAUGUGUUGACCCAAAGUGUUGCAAGACACAAUGUGUCACGGGUUCCUGUGUAUGCACACAUCACUCACAAGGCCUUAAAGGAUAUCCCCAAGGAGGAAACAAACCCUGAUAACUGCAAGGUCCGGGCCCUAGCCUUCAAUAACAAGAACAAGGAAUUGGGAGCAGUAUCUUUGGAUGGCUACUUUCAUCUCUGGAAAGCUGAAAAUACACCGGCUAAGCUCCUCUCUACCAAACUGACAUAUUGCCGUGAGAAUGUGUAUCUAGCCUAUGGUAGUGAAUGGUCAGUGUAUGCAGUGGGCUCCCAAGCUCAUGUCUCCUUCUUGGAUGCACGGCAGCCAUCAUACAACGUCAAGUCUGUCUGCUCCAGGGAGUGAGGCAGUGGAAUCCGGUCAGUGAGUUUCUAUGAGCACAUCAUCACUGUGGGAACAGGGCAGGGCUCCCUGCUGUUCUAUGACAUCCGAGCUCAGAGAUUUCUGGAAGAGAGGCUCUCAGCUUGUAAUGGGUCCAAGCCCAGACUAGCAGGGGAGAAUCUGAAACUAACCACUGGCAAAGGCUGGCUGAAUCAUGAUGAAACCUGGAGAAAUUACUUUUCGGACAUUGAUUUCUUCCCCAAUGCUGUUUACAUGCACUGCUAUGACUCGUUUGGGACGAAACUCUUUGUGGCAGGAGGUCCCCUCCCUUCAGGGCUCCAUGGAAACUAUGCUGGCCUCUGGAGUUAACGACAAUUAACUCUCUUCCAAAAUGCAGAGAUUUACACUAACUUCCAUCCUUAGUUUCCUUGUUUCUUUUCAUUUUUUUUUCCAAUUGUGUGAGGCUCUCGUAUUUUAGAGGGAACACCAAAGUUUGCCUAUGGUUUAGGCACUUGGUAAGACGAAGCUCUGUACAGAAAUCUGAAGGUUGUUGUUUUUCUUUUUUCCCUUUUGGUAAUCAGAAUUUUGCUGUAUUUUUUUCUUUCUGGGUUUUCAGCCAAACAUUGUUCCUAAUCCCUAUUUGUAUUUUUUCUUUAAGUGACACACACUUUCCCCUCUACGGCUUCUUUAGACUGAAAUAACACGGUCAUUCUCACCCUUACUUCAUUCUUGAGAGGUAGGGCUCCUUUAUUAUUAUAUGGUUGCUGUCAGACUUUCUGUGAAAGUUUGGGAGCCAUGUGUGUGUGUGCGC